GACGAACGCUGGCGGCGUGCCUAAUACAUGCAAGUCGAACGAGUGGCGGACGGGUGAGUAACACGUGGGAACCUACCCAUCCGAGGGGGAUACCUAAUGGAUACGGUAGCUAAUAGCGCAUAACAUCGGAUUAGCCCAGAUGGGAUUAGCUAGUAGGUGGGGUAACGGCUCCCCUAGGCGACGAUCCCUAGCUGGUCUGAGAGGAUGACCAGCCAAACUGGAACUGAGACACGGCCCAGAAUCCGACGGGAGGCAGCAGUGGGGAAUAUUGCACAAUGGGCGCAAGCCUGAUGCAGCCAGGCCGCGUGUAUGAAGAAGGCCUUCGGGUUGUAAAGUACUUUCAGCGAGGAGGCGUUACUCGCAGAAGAAGCACCGGCUAACUCCGUGCCAGCCGCCGCGGUAAUUC
rnacentral:rRNA from 1 species